CUCAGAUUGAACGCUGGCGGCAGGCCUAACACAUGCAAGUCGAGCGGAAACGAGAAGUAGCUUGCUACUUCGGCGUCGAGCGGCGGACGGGUGAGUAAUGCCUAGGAAAUUGCCCUGAUGUGGGGGAUAACCAUUGGAAACGAUGGCUAAUACCGCAUAAUGCCUUCGGGCCAAAGAGGGGGACCUUCGGGCCUCUCGCGUCAGGAUAUGCCUAGGUGGGAUUAGCUAGUUGGUGAGGUAAUGGCUCACCAAGGCGACGAUCCCUAGCUGGUCUGAGAGGAUGAUCAGCCACACUGGAACUGAGACACGGUCCAGACUCCUACGGGAGGCAGCAGUGGGGAAUAUUGCACAAUGGGCGCAAGCCUGAUGCAGCCAUGCCGCGUGUAUGAAGAAGGCCUUCGGGUUGUAAAGUACUUUCAGUCGUGAGGAAGGUGGUGUUGUUAAUAGCAGCAUCAUUUGACGUUAGCGA
rnacentral:rRNA from 1 species